rnacentral:lncRNA from 1 species
CUGUUCCCCUCUUUUCCCCAGUGGUUUGCUCCAAUUUCUCAGAACAGCAUCCUUGCCACUAAACCUCAAGAUUGGCCUGUUCCUGUCUCACAAAUUAUUAGGCCCUCUAUACUUUUUACCCUUACCUCUAGUUAUCUAGCUAGUAACCUAGAGUGGUUUGAUGGUGUCUUGCACUAAAGCAUCCCCACUCAGUUCCCUGUACAUGGCAGUGGUUUGUUCCUAUCUGCUGAGCAUCAGCAUCUUUCCCCUCCUUUCUCACAGGAAUGAUUAGAUACUGCGUCAUUGAGCAUCAGGCAUUUAGCCCCUCCCCCGGGGUCCACAGUGGUUUGAUCCUACCUCAUGGACUAUUAGGUUCUUUCUGAUUCCCCCUCCAGCGUCACCAUUACUAAUGGUAUGGUCCUUAGCAUCAGGUCUUUUUUUGUCCCCCACUGGUCUUCUGAGCACAUUGACGCAGCCUCAUCUCAUUCCUGAUGCAUCCUGAGCCUCUCAGUGCCUUGCUCCUGCGUAAGCGCUGUAAACUGGACCAAAUGGGUUGAAAAUGGCCAGAAAUUGAUCUUGAUCACUUUAGAUAUUUUAUGAAAAAUAAAAAAAAAUAAUUUCUGUCCAGUUAAAAUCCAUUUGAGCCAGUUUAAGCUAAUUGUGCAGAGCUGGAGGCUGAGGUCGGCAAACCCAGGAAGAUGGCUGAAGACUAUGCUGACUCAAGCCACUCAUGGAGCCAGAUUUCUUGGAUUCCAGAUUCAACUCCUUCUUUGACCCUGGACCUGUGCUGACUGGAAGCCUCGAGAUGAGAUGAGAAAAUCGAGGCUCAGAAAAGUCCCAUGACUUGUCCAAGGCCAUGAAGCUAGUUCACAGAGAGGCACAGAAUCAGCUAUGGAAGCACUUGAGAGAAUACCAAUACCAUUUUGUGGCCUGGAGAGAUCGGCACCCUCACUAUUUUUGUCCCUGCUAGCCAUCAGCCUCUGGCUUCCCUGUUAUCCUGUUGCCCCCACAGAAUGCAGCUACUACGUGGCUUAAGAGCCAGCACCUCCAUGAAGUGGUGAAGAGGAAAGGCCAUUUGAGGACACAGUGAGAAGAUGAUGAUUAUCUACAAGCCAGGAAAAGAAGCUUCUUCAGAAACCAAUCCUGCCACACUGAGUUUGGGUUUUCAGCCUCUACAACUGCUCAACAAAGUUGGUCAGAAAAAAAAGUUUCCAUCACUGGCUAAGAAAUAAGUCCUUCACCUUCAUGCUUUUUCCAGGUACAUCUACUUUGAUAAUGUAAGAAGCCACUCCUUGCUCAUGCCUUCAAAGUCUCUCUGCUCUGGUUAUGAGCUUGGCCUUUAAAUGCUAUAUGUUAUAGCUUCUUCUAUUAAAAAAAACAUAUACCUUCUUAUUUUUCCAAACUACAGCUGUCUUUGUUACAUAAUUAUUUUUUCCACUGUCAUGACAGCUUUGAUCAUGAGAGCAGAACAUUCCUUGCUGUUUGGGAUUUAGGAAUCCUUUGAACUCCAUCCCUGUCCAGACAUGCCUAUUUUUGUCACAUUCUAGUUUUGUUUUCCUCACUUUCUGCAUGUAUAGUUACUUUGUCAAGUAAACAAUGUGCCUAAAUGUAGUAUUUCUCCAGCUACAUUUGCUGUCAGUGUGAAUAAAAUCUGUUAUAGUGACCACAGGAUGUUUCCUCUUUCCUCUAUGGCCACUUCUUCUCUUACCACUAAAGAUUUUUCUGAUUGUGUGUCUUAUGUGACCAUAGCAGUUCUUUGGUAUUUGUAUUGUGAUAAUAUCUCAUCAGUCAGUAUGAUCUUGAACUCACUAUCCUCCUAUAGUGCUAGCUAGCAGCUCUUUGGUAUGUGUAUCUCAGCUUUACAGUACCCACAUAGUUAAUAAAUCUCUAUAGCAAUAUGAAUUAAUAGAUUGCUAUCUUGCAUACCCGCUUUUUGGGACAAAAGCAGCUAAAAUCCACUUAUUAACGAAAACCCUAAAAACAAUAUGGUCUGAUUAACUAUAGUACUCAUGCUGCCAUGCAUUAGGUCUCUAUCCUUGUUCCUGCUACACACCUGCUACUUCAGGGUUCCUUUAGAACAGUUCCUUCACAGAGCCAAGUGUCAUUCCAUCCUGGCACCUCCCACAUUUCCAGCUUUAACCAUAGCUUGACAGUAUAUAGAGGAACAAAUAAAGAAUAUGCUAAUUGGUACAAAGUUCUAGGCAAGGACAGCCAAGUAGAUGAGCCCAGUUUGUUCUCUUCCGGUACAGUUUUGCAUUUCUAUCUAUGCCUAUUUAUAUAUAUGUAUUCCAUUUUCAUGCUGUAUGUUUUGGCUUUUUACUCUGUCCAACCUGAGAAGGAGACUACAAGUGUAGCAUGGAGAGCAUAUUAUAAUUAAGGUAAGACAAUGGCCAAUUCAUGAACUAUUUUCUAAAAGGUGAAUAGAUCAAAGAAGCAACCAUUGAAACCCUCCCUAAAACAUCAGGAACUCAUUAGAGUACAAUGAGGCUUUCUAUGGACAAAGCCAAUUUCUGUCUAGGAUAGGGGAUCUGGGGAAGUAUAUCUCUACUCAGUCCCUUCAUCAGACCAAACAUACAAAGAAAACUCAGGCUUGUAACUUAUAAAAAGUCACUUGUGGUUGAAAUGCUCUUUUCAGAUGAAUACAAUGAAUGCUGGGCUUGGUGGUAUACUCCUCUAAUCCUAGCACUAAAAGGACCAAAGCAAUGGGAUUACAGCCCACUCUGGGUUGCAUGAUAAGAACCUGUUUUAAAGUGACUAAUAUGUAUUACUUUUACUCAUACAUGUUUUUCUUUCUUUGGAAUAUUCCUGGGUUUCUGAACUCCAUUUGGCUCAACAUCAUGUCUUCUUAUCAACUGAGGAACACCUUUGGACAUUUGUAUCUGAAUUUUCUUCAGGCUUGGUCUUUGGUACUCCUUAUGUAGACAUCUACACCAUAAUUACCGGUGUUUUUAACCAGAAAAACCACCCAUUAACUCUAUCAAGAGGAACAUCCAGUCAACAUGCCACCACAUCCCAAAAACCUGCCGAGGAACUUGUCACAAGCUCAAGUCCCAAGAUCAUCUGGAUAUCAAGAAUCACUUCUUUAUAUUUCCACAAAUGCUAGUUUGACUGUGCUUGUAGUCCAUGAUACUUGGGAGGCUGAGGUGGGAGAAUUACUUGAGUCAAAUAACCGAGUUUACCAUCCUGAACAACAUAGUGUGACCCCAUCUCAAAUCAAACCCAACCUAACACCAGAAAAGAAAUUCACAGACUUUCUAGGGAGCUUGCUGAGGAAAAACGAUUGUAUUGUUAAAUGUUAAGGGAUACUGCCUUUACUAUUUUAUAUUGAUGGUAUUUUACUAUUUAAGAUACAAAAAUAUUUAUUAUGAAUAACACACAUUCUUGAGUGAACUUUUGGAAUGGGUGAGAUACUUAUAUGUAUAUAUGUGAUGAGUUAAUAUUUGUGGCAUUUUAGACUGUGUUAUUUGUAGUAUACUGAUGCUGCAUUGUACAUGUUUUCAUUAAGUUAUGUAAGAUUGGUAGAUUGGAAUUUACAAAUACAAUGGUGAAUUAAAAGCAACUUCUGAGCCAGUAGAUUAAAAAUAUUAUGACAAAAACCUAAUAAAUGCUACUUAUAUACAAGAAAGACUAAAAAACAUAAAAGGCAAAGUCUGAAUUUCUCUACAAUGCAGGAGCCAGGUCCACCAGAAAUCAGUUGUGGUAUUCCUCCCAGUGACUGAUAUCAGCUGUAGCUGUCAGCCAUGUGUUCUCAUACCAUGAAAGCCCAGAAGAGAAGGCCUGGGCUAUGUAAAUACAACCAGAUGGAUAAAAUUACAUAUGUAAAAUAGGCUGUGAGUAGUAAAAAUGUGAUUUGAAAAUCUGAAGAUCAUUACACAUUAAUAAAGGGCAUAAUUUAUCAAGAAGAUUAGAAUAUUAACAUUCAUACACCAACUAUCAGGUACAAUCAGUGGGAGAUUUCAAUACUCUCAUCUUACGGCACAUAUUUCAAACUAAAAACCAACAAACAGUGUAAGUAAAUAAAACCAUAGAGCAUUUUUUCACUAGUUGAUGUAGCAACUACAUUUUCCCUCCCUCCUCUUCUUCUGCUCCCUCCCCUACCCCUUUCCCAUCCACUUCUCCUCAGUCUCCACUCAGAUGGCUUAAGGCUUCCCAUGGGAGUCAUCAAAGCAUGACACAUCAAGCUGAGGCAGGACUAAGCUCCUCCCUGCUCCAUCAAGGCUGAACAAGGCAUCCCACCAUAGGGAAUAGGUUCCAAAGAGACAGGUCCUGGUCCCUCUGCUAGGAGUCCCACAAAAGAUCAACUGUCACCCAGAUGCAGAGGCCUAAGUCAUUCCCAUGCCACAUCCCUAGCUGUGAGAUCCAGAGUCUGUGAGAUCCCACAAACUCAGGUCAGCUGUCUCAAGCAAUUGCAUUUAACAAAUACAUACAACGUAUUCCAUCCAACUAAUAGGGAAUGCACAUUAUUCUCAGUAGUACAUGGGGCUUUCUCUAAAACUAUUCACAUUAUAGGACACAAAGCAAAAAAAAUAGAAUUACUUACAUUUUAUCAGAUAAUAGAAGAAUAAAAGCCACACAAAUACUUAGUACUAAGCAAUACAUUUUUGAAUGAACAGCCGAUUAUUGAGGGAAUCGAGGAAAGUUUUUAAAAUCCUACAAACAAAAUUUUAAAGUUAUGUAAUCUAGCAAUUCCAUUUGUGGGUAUUCACUUAGGAAGAUUGAAAAGAGGUUAUACAAGAGAAAUCUGCAUAUCUUUAGUCAUAGAAGCUUUCAUUCACAAUAAUAAGAAAGUAGAAAUAACUCAAGCAUCAUCAGUGGAAGAAUAGAUAAAUGUGGCAUAAAUAUGUAAUAGAAUCUUAUUUAUACUUUCAAAGAGAGGACCAACUUGUAGAUGCUACAAUGUAGAUAAACUUUGUGGAUAAACUUUGCAGAUACUGUGGUAAAGGAAAUAAGCCAACCACAAAAAGUACAAAUGCAACAUUAUUUCAGUAAGAUGAAUGUUCAAAGUAGUCAAAUUCAUAGAAAAAGUAUUAAUAUAAUGGUGAUUACCAGGGUCAUUGUCUUAGUCAGUGUUCUAUUGCUGUGAAGACACACAAUGACCAUGGAAACUCUCAUAAAGAAAAGCAUUCAACUAGGGCUGGCUUGCAGUUUCAGAGGUUUAGUCCAUUAGCAUAAUGGUGGGAAAUAUGCCAAGAAGCAUGCAGCAUGACAGCAUGAAGGCAGAUAUGGUGCUGAAGAGAUGCUGAGGGUUCUACAUCUGGAUCCAAAGGCAGCAGUAAGAGAGACAGAGACACUAGGCCUGGCUUGGGCCCUUGAAAACCUAAAGCCCAGCCCCCAGUGACAGGCUUCCUCCAACAAGGCCACACCUACUCCAACAAGAAAUGACUAUUCAUUCAACAUAGGGCAUUACAUAUAAACUAAAAGCCUGACUACACCUAAGUUCAGCUUGGUGUAUCAGUGGAUUUAUUGGAGUUACUUAUUGGAACAUGGGUGAUUGGGCAGCUACAUUAUCAAAAAAGUCCAAUCCCAAACUGAGUGUCAACUGCAUGGGUGAUUUUGGCAGCCGAUUCACUGAACAAUCAACUCCAGCAUGUGUGACCACUCAAGAUGCUGCAUAACUAGAGUUUUGCCUUUAGUCAUCUUUCGCCUUCCUAUAUUCUUUACAACUUCCCAAGACCACAUAUAGGUGAGAGGUUAAGAGGUUAAGGUGUGGUGACCUUCCUUCUAAGAGUUAAUGUUAACAAUCCAAUUAUAACUGUUAUUAAUGUAGCUAUUAAUGUGUUAUUUUGCUUAUUUUAUUACUAUGGAAUUACUGUGGAAUUAAGGCAUUCUAUAGGUCAUCACAACAAUCUAGGCUUCAUGAUGGUGAUGGUCAUGAUAUGCUUGUAGAAAACAGUUAUACCAUACACAUGUCCUGUAUUGAGAUAUAAUUGACAAAUAAAAGUUGUAUAUAUUUACUGUAUUGUUCAAUUUUUUCCAUAAUACUAGGGUUGGAACCCAGGGCUUCACCAAUGCUAAGCAAUUAGCCUGCCACUGAAUCACAGCCAGACCUU